rnacentral:rRNA from 1 species
AUUGAACGCUGGCGGCAGGCUUAACACAUGCAAGUCGAGCGGUAACAGGAGAAGCUUGCUUCUCGCUGACGAGCGGCGGACGGGUGAGUAAUACUUAGGAAUCUACCUAGUAGUGGGGGAUAGCACGGGGAAACUCGUAUUAAUACCGCAUACGACCUACGGGAGAAAGGGGGCAGUUUACUGCUCUCGCUAUUAGAUGAGCCUAAGUCGGAUUAGCUAGAUGGUGGGGUAAAGGCCUACCAUGGCGACGAUCUGUAGCUGGUCUGAGAGGAUGAUCAGCCACACCGGGACUGAGACACGGCCCGGACUCCUACGGGAGGCAGCAGUGGGGAAUAUUGGACAAUGGGGGAAACCCUGAUCCAGCCAUGCCGCGUGUGUGAAGAAGGCCUUUUGGUUGUAAAGCACUUUAAGCAGUGAAGAAGACUCCAUGGUUAAUACCCAUGGACGAUGACAUUAGCUGCAGAAUAAGCACCGGCUAACUCUGUGCCAGCAGCCGCGGUAAUACAGAGGGUGCAAGCGUUAAUCGGAAUUACUGGGCGUAAAGGGAGCGUAGGUGGCUCUAUAAGUCAGAUGUGAAAUCCCCGGGCUUAACCUGGGAACUGCAUCUGAAACUGUAGAGCUAGAGUAUGUGAGAGGAAGGUAGAAUUCCAGGUGUAGCGGUGAAAUGCGUAGAGAUCUGGAGGAAUACCGAUGGCGAAGGCAGCCUUCUGGCAUAAUACUGACACUGAGGCUCGAAAGCGUGGGUAGCAAACAGG